rnacentral:rRNA from 1 species
UACGUAGGUGGCAAGCGUUGUCCGGAUUUACUGGGCGUAAAGAGCGCGCAGGCGGUCGUACAAGUCGCGUGUGAAAGCCCCCGGCUCAACUGGGGAGGGUCACGCGAUACUGUUCGACUCGAAGGCAGGAGAGGGAAGUGGAAUUCCCGGUGUAGUGGUGAAAUGCGUAGAUAUCGGGAGGAACACCAGUGGCGAAGGCGACUACCUGGCCUGUUUCUUGACGCUGAGGCGCGAAAGCUAGGGGAGCAAACGGG